ensembl:rRNA 5S_rRNA 5S ribosomal RNA
GUCUACGGCCAUACCACCCUGAACACACCCGAUCUCGUCUGAUCUCGGAAGCUAAGCAGGGUCGGGCCUGGUUAGUACUUGGAUGGGAAACAAAAAGGGACAUACUUCAAAUAUGGAAA